rnacentral:tRNA from 1 species
GGAGGGAUGGCCGAGUGGACGAAGGCGCUGGUCUCGAAAACCAGUUGAGUCUUAGGGCUCACGUGGGUUCGAAUCCCACUCCCUCCGCCA